AGCUCCGUGGUGUAUAACAUUUCGGAUUGCAAAUCCGAAGAAGUAGGCUAACAGCCUACCGGGGCUU
rnacentral:tRNA from 1 species